rnacentral:lncRNA from 1 species
UUUUAAAAAACGAAUUUUCGAAAAAAGCAUCAAAUUUUUAAGAUUUAUGCAAUUUUAAUUAUAAUCUACAAAAAUACUAACAAAUAUUUGUUACAAACAAAACAAAGGAAAUACUGGAAAGUUUAUAAGCUUAAAGAAAACAAUUUGAUAAAAAGAAUCACUAUUUUUAGGCGGUCCAGGUUGUUCGACAGGAAAUUUAUUUAAUAUAACAUGUCUGCAAUCAGUUUUGUUGCUGAUAGCAAUAGCAGAUGCAGUGGUGACUUGUACUGACAGCAGGUUGGAUAUAGCCCCGAGACCAGCUGAGACUAAGAAAAUUAAAAUCCCUUGCUAAAAGCACAUUGGCCAGUGGACUGGCCUUAUUUGAGAUUUGGUUUAUCCGCAACAAAGUAUGGUUAGCUGUUUCAGGAAGACAGUAGGUAAUGGUUGUGAUCAAUUUGAGGUCAAUCGCAUGCAAUAUUAGUGUAUCGCACA